GAUCUUCAUCUCUUGGUCUUACUGUUGGUCUGUGUCUUGGACUGAGCAUCAUGUUUUUGAUCUUUUUCUUGGUCCUGCUGUGGUGCUACAAAAACAAAAAACUCUCUCGGUCUCCCUCGGCUGUCAGUCCACAGCAAAACAUCAGUCAGACAUCAGAUCAGAAACAGACUGAAGAUGUUUACACUCCAUUGCAGUUUGGAGAUUCUCAUCUGUAUGACUGUAUUAUUACAACAGCUAAUAAAGACACAAGCUCAGGAAGUUAAACUGGAAGGGAAGAGAUCAAGGUG